AAAAACAAUUACAUAUGACCUAAGACAGUAGCUGUAUUAUAUACUUAAUUUGCUACCGAGGAAAAAUAAAACUGGAACUUAUUUUCUCUCUUUUAAAAUGUCUUUAGGAAUUUAUAAGAGGGAUUUUAUUUUUAUUAA
rfam:Acholeplasma oculi genome assembly, chromosome: 1